UUCUGUCUGGAAGAGGAGGAGCCAGUGUGCCAGCAGUGUCAGACAGAGGAGCACAAAGAGCACCAGUGCUGCUCUAUACAGGAGGCUGUCCUCGACUGUAAGUGAGCUGAUCACCUGGUGGAGUCGCACACCUGCUGGCAAUCCUCAUCAGUGCCUGGCCUUAAGAAGUGGGGUUUCCUGAGACUCGUCGCCAGAUUAUUCCUUACCCAUGAUUCCUGAGUGUUUUGUGUUGCCUGGAGGAUCUUUUGGAGCGCUGGUUGCCACUGUUCAGGACCUGCCUGCCCCUGCUCCCACCUGCCCUUUUCAAGCACAGUUCCACUUCUACUCAGUUCUUUGUGAAUAAAACCCUUGACCUCAA